UACGAAGGGGACUAGCGUUGUUCGGAUUUACUGGGCGUAAAGCGCGCGUAGGCGGAUCACUAAGUCAGGGGUGAAAUCCCGAGGCUUAACCUCGGAACUGCCUUUGAUACUGAUGAUCUGGAGAUUGGGAGAGGUUGGUGGAAUUCCGAGUGUAGAGGUGAAAUUCGUAGAUAUUCGGAGGAACACCAGAAGCGAAGGCGGCCAACUGGCCCAAUACUGACGCUGAGGCGUGAAAGCGUGGGGAGCAAACAGG
rnacentral:rRNA from 1 species